GGUCGCCCCUCGGGGCGUCGCAAGAGGGAGCCCGGUGUGAGUCCGGGACUGCCUCGCAGCGGUGAGUGGGAAACGACCGCCGUCAUAGAGCACUGGGCCUCCGGCCUGGGAAGCGACGGCCGGUAGCGUCCGUCCUUCGACCUUCCGGAAGCGAUCGAACACGCCUACGAGUCCGAAGACCUGCC
rnacentral:ncRNA from 2 species